rnacentral:ncRNA from 1 species
ACGCCCGAAUGUGUUUGUCCCAAGUGGUCUCCUCGCGCUAACCCCGUAGCGUGUGGUUUUAAGCGGGCGCCAUGCCCGCUUUUUUUU